GUUAGUGCAAAAGUAAUUGCGGAUUUUGCCAUUACGUUUGACAAAAACUGCAAUUACUUUUGCGCCAACCUA
ensembl:miRNA